rnacentral:sRNA from 1 species
AAGUAAACUUCUUAUAAGUUUAUUAUUCCUUAUAAGUGAUUUUUACUUAAAAGUUAUAUAGUAACUUACAAAUAAUUUUUUUUUUACUUAAGAGUAAUUCUUUGUACCUGCAGACGAUUUGACCAACCCUGCUCCUGCUACGACAUUUGCACAUUUAGAUGCUAGGAAACUCAAUGGAAUUCAUAACUUUUUCUAGCUUUAUUUUUCCCUUUUCUUUUUAUUGUCUGAAUAUUCAGAAACUAAGACCACUUAAAAGUGAAAUGUUUAGAUCUUAUUUUCUUUUUUUCCUUAAUCAUAAAACGGUGAAAUAGUCUUCAGGAACCUAACUAUCUCUCCCAAAAGCCCAGGCUUGGGGGUGAUUGCAUCCCACAACUAUUAGACUCUAAUAAUAUCCCACGGCCCCUAAUUCAACAUUCAUGGCGGCCUACUCCAAGACGACUUGAGCUUUUGAGAGAGAUGGUUGGGUCUCAUCAAUUAGUAUCAGAGCAGAUUCACGUCACAGGUUCAAAUCCCGGAAGGGGCUACCCAAGCCAAGUGCCGAACACCAGCAGCUAUAGAAGGGUCUGCCGGGCAAAGGGAAGGUCGUCUUGGAGUGGGCCGCCGUGGACUUUGGAUUUGGGGCUGUAGGGUAUUGUUAGGGUCUAAUAGUUAUGGAAUUCAAUCACCCUCAAGCCUGAACAUUUCGGAGAGGUGGCUGGGUUUCCAUCAAUAAGUUAUACAGUCACAGGUAUAAACCCUCCUCAAAUUGCGUAUUACUUCGGUUGACUUCCAGAUAUUAAUUGUACCAAACACUAGAUAAGGAUUAGAUAGGAUUAAAUGAAUCCUUAUCCGGUCUAAUACAAUGCGCCAAAUGUGCCAUUAAUAUGUAUUAAAU